rnacentral:rRNA from 1 species
CCCUUAGAUGUUCUGGGCUGCACGCGUGCUACAAUGGCGUUUCCAGCAAGUCUGCGAACCCGAGAGGGCCAGCGGAUCUUCGAAUUGGCGUCGUGAUCGGGACAGUCGAUUGCAAUUAUUUGACUCAAACGAGGAAUUCCUUGUAAUCGCGAUUCAUCAUAUCGCGCUGAAUACGUCCCUGCCCUUUGUACGCACCGCCCGUCGCUCCUACCGAUUGAGCGAUCCGGUAAAUGUUUUGGAUUGGUGCCGGGGCGGCUAGCUGCCGGUCGCUACGAAAUUUUGUGAACCUUAUCGCUUAGAGGAAGGAAAAGUCGUAACA